CCCUUAGAUGUUCUGGGCCGCACGCGCGCUACACUGAUGCAUUCAACGAGCCUAUCCUUGACCGACAGGUCCGGGUAAUCUUUGAAUCUGCAUCGUGACGGGGAUAGAUUAUUGCAAUUAUUAAUCUUCAACGAGGAAUGCCUAGUAGGCGCAAGUCAUCAGCUUGCGUCGAUUACGUCCCUGCCCUUUGUACACACCGCCCGUCGCUCCUACCGAUUGGAUGUGCUGGUGAAAUGUUCGGAUCGGCCGUUUGUCGCGGUUUCCGCGGCUCGUGGCUGAGAAGUUCAUUAAACCCUCCCACCUAGAGGAAGGAGAAGUCGUAACA
rnacentral:rRNA from 1 species